rnacentral:rRNA from 1 species
AGUGAACGCUGGCGGUAGGCCUAACACAUGCAAGUCGAACGGCAGCACAGUAAGAGCUUGCUCUUACGGGUGGCGAGUGGCGGACGGGUGAGGAAUACAUCGGAAUCUACUUUUUCGUGGGGGAUAACGUAGGGAAACUUACGCUAAUACCGCAUACGACCUACGGGUGAAAGCAGGGGAUCUUCGGACCUUGCGCGAUUGAAUGAGCCGAUGUCGGAUUAGAUAGUUGGCGGGGUAAAGGCCCACCAAGGCGACGAUCCGUAGCUGGUCUGAGAGGAUGAUCAGCCACACUGGAGCUGAGACACGGUCCAGACUACUACGGGAGGCAGCAGUGGGGAAUAUUGGACGAUGGGCGCAAGCCUGAUCCAGCCAUACCGCGUGGGUGAAGAAGGCCUUCGGGUUGUAAAGCCCUUUUGUUGGGAAAGAAAAGCAGCAGGUUAAUACCCCGCUGUUCUGACGGUACCCAAAGAAUAAGCACCGGCUAACUUCGUG